rnacentral:tRNA from 1 species
AGAGAAGUACUCAGGUGGCUGAAGAGGACGGUUUAUUAUACCGUUAGAUUGGGUUACCGGUGCGCGGAUUCAAAUCCCGCCUUCUCAC